AGAGUUUGAUCAUGGCUCAGAACGUACGCUGGCGGCACGCCUAACACAUGCAAGUCGAACGAAGUAGCAAUACUUAGUGGCAGACGGGUGAGUAACAUGUAGGUAUCUACCCUUUGGCCUGGAAUAACACGAGGAAACUUGUGCUAAUACCGGAUAAGUCUUUACGGAGAAAGCUUUAUGCACCAUUGGAUGAGCCUGCACUUGAUUAGUUUGUUGGUGGGGUAAUGGCCUACCAAGACUGUGAUCAAUAGCUGAUUUGAGAGGAUGAUCAGCCACAUUGGGACUGAGACACGGCCCAAACUCCUACGGGAGGCAGCAGUGGGGAAUCUUGCACAAUGGAGGAAACUCUGAUGCAGCGAUGCCGCGUGAGUGAAGAAGGCCUUUGGGUUGUAAAGCUCUUUCGUCGGGGAAGAAAAUGACUGUACCCGAAUAAGAAGGUCCGGCUAACUUCGUGCCAGCAGCCGCGGUAAUACGAAGGGACCUAGCGUAGUUCGGAAUUACUGGGCUUAAAGAGUUCGUAGGUGGUUGAAAAAGUUGGUGGUGAAAUCCCAGAGCUUAACUCUGGAACUGCCAUCAAAACUUUUCAGCUAGAGUUUGAUAGAGGAAAGCAGAAUUUCUAGUGUAGAGGUGAAAUUCGUAGAUAUUAGAAAGAAUACCAAUUGCGAAGGCAGCUUUCUGGAUCAUUACUGACACUGAGGAACGAAAGCAUGGGUAGCGAAGAGGAUUAGAUACCCUCGUAGUCCAUGCCGUAAACGAUGUGUGUUAGACGUUGGAAAUUUAUUUUCAGUGUCGCAGCGAAAGCGAUAAACACACCGCCUGGGGAGUACGACCGCAAGGUUAAAACUCAAAUGAAUUGACGGGGACCCGCACAAGUAGUGGAGCAUGUGGUUUAAUUCGAAGAUACGCGCAGAACCUUACCAACACUUGACAUGUUCGUCGCGACUCUAAGAGAUUAGAGUUUUCGGUUCGGCCGGACGAAACACAGGUGCUGCAUGGCUGUCGUCAGCUCGUGUCGUGAGAUGUUGGGUUAAGUCCCGCAACGAGCGCAACCCUCACUUUUAGUUGCCAUCAUUAAGUUGGGCACUCUGAAAGAACUGCCAGUGAUAAGCUGGAGGAAGGUGGGGAUGACGUCAAGUCCUCAUGGCCCUUACGUGUUGGGCUACACACGUGCUACAAUGGUAUCUACAACAGGAAGCAAAACGGCGACGUUAAGCAAAUCCUUAAAAGAUACCUCAGUUCGGAUUGCACUCUGCAACUCGAGUGCAUGAAGCUGGAAUUACUAGUAAUCGUGGAUCAGCGUGCCACGGUGAAUGCGUUCCCGGGUCUUGUACACACCGCCCGUCACACCAUGGGAGUUGGUUCUACCUUAAGGCAAGGUUUAAAACCCUUGACCACGGUAUAGUCAGCGACUGGGGUGAAGUCAUAACAAGGUAACCGUA
rnacentral:rRNA from 1 species